rnacentral:rRNA from 1 species
GACGAACGCUGGCGGCGUGCUUAACACAUGCAAGUCGAGCGGUAAGGCCUUUCGGGGUACACGAGCGGCGAACGGGUGAGUAACACGUGGGUGAUCUGCCCUGCACUCUGGGAUAAGCCUGGGAAACUGGGUCUAAUACCGGAUAUGACUACAUGCUGCAUAGUGUGUGGUGGAAAGAUUUAUCGGUGCAGGAUGGGCCCGCGGCCUAUCAGCUUGUUGGUGGGGUAAUGGCCUACCAAGGCGACGACGGGUAGCCGACCUGAGAGGGUGACCGGCCACACUGGGACUGAGACACGGCCCAGACUCCUACGGGAGGCAGCAGUGGGGAAUAUUGCACAAUGGGCGGAAGCCUGAUGCAGCGACGCCGCGUGAGGGAUGAAGGCCUUCGGGUUGUAAAGCUCUUUCACCGGAGAAGAUAAUGACGGUAUCCGGAGAAGAAGCCCCGGCUAACUUCGUGCCAGCCGCCGCAGUAA